rnacentral:tRNA from 1 species
GUACCUGAGUGGCUCAGUUGGUUAGAGCAUGGUGCUGGUAAUGCCAAGGUCACAGGUUUGAUCCCUUUAUAGGACA